rnacentral:lncRNA from 1 species
AUGGCCAUUUCAAUCUCAUUUUUGUUUGGCACUUUCACCACCUUUCUCUUUCCUCUAAAAAACCUGAGCUCGCUGUGGGGGAAAACAAAAAACCAAACAACACUCAUAGGUUCUCAAGCAGCGGUUCUGCCACGGUGUAAUCGGCACCCCACUUGCUUCGCAGUCCUGCCGCGUUUCCCUCUCCUGGGGGAGUUCCUGGCCCAUGGAGGAGACUUCACGUUGCAGCUGGCUGCCACGCACCGAGUGAGCCAGAGGCAGCUGGAAGGAGGGCAGUCUAGUAGCAAGGUCUGCACAGGAGCUGGGGGACAACCACAGGCCCAUGGGGAAGCCCAGCCCAGAGUGCUGUUAUUUUUGAUGGAAGGGUUUCCCCACCCAUGUUCAGCGGGAGAACAGGAAGAUUGAGCCCUAAUUGGCCUCCUCUGUGAGCACAAAGAAGAACGAGGAUGUGUAAGCAUGCUGACACGCUGCAGGGAGAAGUAAGAACACCUGAGAUUCUGUUGUUUACCCGGACAAGUGCCAUGGAGGGAGGCAGACAGAUGAAUCCUGCUCAACUCUAAUUGCUUGGGGCCAGGUCUUAGUGAACAAAGCCGAGGUGCGCCAGUCACUCAGGGCUCUAUGUCGAAGGUGGACAAGAGCCUCAUGGCCUUCCAGAUUUUAACCCAAUUCUGUGUCUUUCCUUUUUUAUCCUUGUCACUCCUUGGUCAGGUUCAAGCUCGUAGGCUGGUUCCUACUCUGUCUUUUCAUAGCUUGAUGGCUCCUUUCUUCUUAGUGCUGGAGACCUACUGAAAGACAUCUUGGUUGCCUCCAAGUUUUGGCAAUUACAAGUAAAGCUGCUAUAAACAUCUGUGUGUAGGUUUUCGUGUGAACUUUAAGUUUUCAACUCCUUUAAGUAAAUUACCCAGGAGCAUGAGAGCUGGGUUGUAUGGUAACAACAUGCUUAGUUUUGUUAGAAACUGCCAAGUAGUCUUCCAAAGUGGCUGUGCUACUUUACAUUCCUAUCAGCUCCAUAUCCUGCCUGCAUUUGGUGGUGUGAGCAUUCUAGAUUUUGGCCAUUCUAAUAUGUACAUAGUGGUUGUUUUAAAAUUUGCAUUUCCAUGAUAAUACGUGUAUUAGGGUCCUCCGGAGGAACAAAGACAAUAGAAUGCAUAUGUAAGGGGGGAUGUAUGAUUGGCUUACGCGGCCAGAGCUGGAUAGUUCCACGGUGGCUGGCUGUAGGGUAGAGAGCCAGGGAAAUUAGUAGCUUCUCAGUCCUGGAAGCUGGAAGCCUCAGAACAUCAAGGACCACUGAUGCAGCCUUAGACCAAGAUGGGGGGGGUAGCUUUGGAAGCCCUCUGGGGUGUCACUGGAGCAGCUCUGUGUUCAAAGGUUGAAGAGUCUGGAGUCCGAUGCCCACAGGUGAUGGCAGCAGCAAACAGUGCACCUGCUCAGUAAGUGCAGCUGGGGUGCACAUGCAGGCAUCUCCCUCUUCCGUUUUGUUGUCCCAUCUGGGUCCCCAACCUUUUGGUCAGUGUCGCCUACAUUCAAGGCAGCUCUUUCCCACCUAGUUUGCGUAUCCACAAGCCAUUUAUUUCUGGAAACACCUUCACACACACCAGAAGUGCGCUUUCGCAGUUUUCUAGGAGGUUGUCACUCCAAUAAAGUUGAUAAUAUUAACCUUUGCAA